GUGCUCGCUUCAGCAGCACAUAUACUAAAAUUGGAAUGAUGCAGAGAAGAUUAGCUUGGCCCCUGCACAAGGGUAACACACAGAUUCGUGAAGCGUUCCAUAUUUUU
rnacentral:snRNA from 1 species